GAUGCAAGUGCAGGAUGAGCAGUUGUUUAUUUGAGGGACAGGCAGACAAAUUCAAAACGUGAUCCAAAACGUAAUCCAUAAACAUGCAAGAGAUCAGGCGAUUGGCAAACAAGCGUACACGGGGCAAGGCAGGUAUCUAGGUCGUGGUCACGGAAAACAGGGUCGAUAAACAAAACAAGAAACCAACUAUGACGAGGGACUGGAAGCGGAUAAUCCAGCGCGAACUAACUCUAAACAUGGACCGUGACUAUGACUAUGAUACGAGCUAAACUAACUCUAAACAUUUAAUCUUCCGCGUUGUGUGCUGGGAGGCGCGCAGUAUAUAUGCGGACAUGAUCAGCGUCUAAACCGCUAGCAGCUGAGAGCAAUUCAGACCCACGUGAAAUCCCAGCCAAUGACAGAACAGGGAGGAGACAUGACAGAAACAUAAACAAAACACACGUGUCCAGAUGUCAUUACAGUCAACAACGGAAAAGCAGGUGCUCGCACAUUCACGCUUAGAGCACGCUGCUUCAAGGGGGAAUCGUGACAGAACCCCCCCCCGAGUGCCAUGAGUCAUCCCACUUCAUUGGCGGCCCCGGCCCCCUGGGCUGAAUGUCCCAAACAGAGCCAGGAAACUGCCCGGUGUUCUUGGCGGCGUAGGGAGGCUGAGCGACGACCGCAGCUGAACAGGGAGGCUGAGCGACGACCGCAGCUGAACAGGGGGGCUGAGGCUCUGAGGUUACCAGGUGAACCUUGGGCAUGGGCGGAGCUUGGCUGUGCGUGUCAGCAGACUCGGGCGUGAGCAGAACUUGAAAUUACAUGAAUUUCUCAAAAUAAACAGAAAAAGCAAGCAGAAAUCUGUUUUUGCCUAACAACAUUACAUUUCAAUUGCCCAGUGUUUAAAGGUGAAAAUAUACAACAAAACUGAAGUCAUGCUGCUUAGGUAUAGAAACUGUGACAUACACAACACAACACCACAUGAAAUCUCUCUUACAAGAAAU
ensembl:lncRNA